CUCGCUCACUCACUCGCCCAGCCGCACUCAGUCGCUCGUGCUCUCUCGCGCUUCUCGCCGCUCGCAGGCCUUCCCCUUCUCGCCUGCCUCCCCUCUCCCCGUCGCUCGCCGGCCUCACCCUCCCCUCUCCCCAUCGCCGGCCUCACCCUCCCCUCUCCCCAUCGCCGGCCUCACUCUCCCUCUCCCUCUCCCUCUCCCUUUCCACCACCCUGCCUCCACUCACACCACGGAGGUAAAAAAAUCAAUCUUUUGAGCCGGCGACGAGCUUCUACUCUGGAAUAUGCAAUGGAGGCAUGGAUGUGGAGCACCAGCGCUGGAUCUGGGCGGCGGAGGCAUGGAUGUGGAGCGGCACCCGAGCGGCGGAUCUGGAGCAAUGCCGGAGCAGUGGAGCGGCGGAUCUGGAGCAGAGUCUUCGUCCUCACGGUGCCCACGUCGUCGUCUUCGCCGGAGUAGCUGCUUCCUCCCCUGCCCAACGAUGGUCGAUGGGUGCAUGUCAUAGAGAGAGACCUGACAGAGCCUGAUAGAAUUGUGGGUGAAUUGUUACAACCUGGAGGCUACCUGAAAUUGAUGGAAUUGGGUCUGCAGGUUUUGACAGGUGACAGAUGGACAGUGGCUGCUCCUUGCUGAUCAAUUCAAAAUUGCUCUGGCGACCAAUUCAAGCUUGAUGUGACUGGCGAGAAGACGUCCUGGUCAAUCACCACAUCUGAUCAAUUUAUGUCUGUGGCGAGAAGAAGUGGUACAACUCCGGCGAUCAAUUUCUUGGGCGAUUAACAAUUUUGAUCAAUUCAAACAGCAACACAGGCAGCGCUACUGCUGCUGU